UAAGCAUAUCAAUAAGCGCAGGAAAAGAAACCAACAGGGAUUGCCUCAGUAACGGCGAGUGAAGCGGCAACAGCUCAAAUUUGAAAUCUGGCCUCUCGGGGUCCGAGUUGUAAUUUGUAGAGGAUGUUUCGGGUACCGCCUCGGUUUAAAUUUCUUGGAACAGAAUGUCAAAGAGGGUGAGAAUCCCGUCUUGGACCGGCGGUAGGGCCUAUGUGAAACUCCUUCGACGAGUCGAGUUGUUUGGGAAUGCAGCUCAAAAUGGGUGGUAAAUUUCAUCUAAAGCUAAAUAUUGGCCAGAGACCGAUAGCGCACAAGUAGAGUGAUCGAAAGAUGAAAAGCACUUUGAAAAGAGAGUUAAACAGUAUGUGAAAUUGUUGAAAGGGAAGCGCUUGCAACCAGACUUGAGCGCGGCGGUUCCCCCUUGCUUCUGCUUGGGUUACUCCGCCGUGUCCAGGCCAACAUCGGUUCUGGGGGUCGGUCAAAGGCCUUGGGAAUGUAUCUACCUACGGGUAGACUUAUAGACCAGGGUGUCAUGCGACCUCCCGGGACCGAGGAACGCGCUUCGGCUCGGAUGUUGGCGUAAUGGUUGUCAGCGACCCGUCUUGAAACACGGACCAAGGAGUCUAACAUCUAUGCGAGUGUUUGGGUGUCAAACCCGGAACGCGAAAUGAAAGUGAACGGAGGUAGGAAGCUUCGGCUGCACUAUCGACCGAUCCUGAAGUUUACGGAUGGAUUUGAGUAAGAGCAUAGCUGUUGGGACCCGAAAGAUGGUGAACUAUGCCUGAAUAGGGUGAAGCCAGAGGAAACUCUGGUGGAGGCUCGCAGCGGUUCUGACGUGCAAAUCGAUCGUCAAAUUUGGGUAUAGGGGCGAAAGACUAAUCGAACCAUCUGGUAGCUGGUUCCUGCCGAA
rnacentral:rRNA from 1 species